rnacentral:precursor_RNA from 11 species
CACUCUCUCUCGGAGGGGCCGGUCCCGCUCCAGCAGCACUUCAAUAUUGGCAGUGUCCACCCCCUCCGGCCGCCAGUAUUGCCUGUGCUGCUCCAGGGGGGCUCGGCAUGCUCAGCCCGUUUGGG